rnacentral:rRNA from 1 species
UGAGGAAUAUUGGUCAAUGGCCGAAAGGCUGAACCAGCAACGCCGCGUGAGGGAUGAAGAUCUAAGGAUCGUAAACCUCUGUUAGGAGGGACGAAGAGUCCAUCGUGAACGAUGGAAUUUGACGGUACCUCCAGAGAAAGCCCCGGCUAACUCCGUGCCAGCAGCCGCGGUAAUACGGGGGGGGCAAGCGUUGUCCGGAAUUAUUGGGCGUAAAGGGCGCGUAGGCGGAAUGGUAAGUCAGAGGUGAAAUUCUUGCGCUUAACGCGGGAACUGCCUUUGAUACUGCUAUUCUUGAGUGCGGAAGAGGGAAGCGGAAUUCCCGGUGUAGCGGUGAAAUGCGUAGAUAUCGGGAAGAACACCGGUAGCGUAAGCGGCUUCCUGGUCCGUUACUGACGCUGAGGCGCGAAAGUGUGGGGAGCAAACAGG